AAAGUCGUAACAAGGUUUCCGUAGGUGAACCUGCGGAAGGAUCAUUAUGAAUUUGAAGUUGUUUCGUGUUAAGUUUUUAGCAUGAAGCAAUUCUUUUUCUGUGAACUGUGUUAUUUCUGUGCUGUGAAAGCCAUCAAGUUUUUUUUAUUACUUGAAGCGGAAGCAAAUCAGAGUAGCAGACUUGUAUUCUUGUAUCUUAUUCCAUCUUUUUUUGUCUUCUAAUUCAAUGCGCCUUUAUAAGCGAUAUUGAAUAACAAGCAAAAAAAAAAAACCAAGACAACUUUCAGCAAUGGAUCUCUUGGCUCUU
rnacentral:misc_RNA from 1 species